rnacentral:rRNA from 1 species
CAGCCGUAAACUAUGCGCGUUAGGUGUACUGGUGACCACGAGUCACCGGGGUGCCGAAGGGAAACCGUGAAACGUGCCGCCUGGGAAGUACGGUCGCAAGGCUGAAACUUAAAGGAAUUGGCGGGGGAGGCACCACAACGGGUGGAGCCUGCGGUUUAAUUGGACUCAACGCCGGAAAUCUCACCGGAUAGGACAGACAUAUGAUAGUCGGGCUGAAGACUCUACUUGAUGAUCUGAGAGGUGGUGCAUGGCGUCAAGUGACU